UGCAAGUCGAGCGGUAAGGCCCUUCGGGGUACACGAGCGGCGAACGGGUGAGUAACACGUGAGCAAUCUGCCCUUCACUUUGGGAUAACCACCGGAAACGGUGGCUAAUACCGAAUAUGACCACUUCCUGCAUGGGAUGGUGGUGGAAAGUUCUGGCGGUGGAGGAUGAGCUCGCGGCCUAUCAGCUUGUUGGUGGGGUAAUGGCCUACCAAGGCAACGACGGGUAGCCGGCCUGAGAGGGUGACCGGCCACACUGGGACUGAGACACGGCCCAGACUCCUACGGGAGGCAGCAGUGGGGAAUAUUGGACAAUGGGCGAAAGCCUGAUCCAGCAACGCCGCGUGAGGGAUGACGGCCUUCGGGUUGUAAACCUCUUUCAGUACCGACGAAGCGCAAGUGACGGUAGGUACAGAAGAAGCACCGGCCAACUACGUGCCAGCAGCCGCGGUAAUACGUAGGGUGCGAGCGUUGUCCGGAAUUAUUGGGCGUAAAGGGCUCGUAGGCGGUUUGUCGCGUCGGGAGUGAAAACACGGGGCUUAACCCCGUGCCUGCUUCCGAUACGGGCAGACUAGAGGUAUGCAGGGGAGAACGGAAUUCCUGGUGUAGCGGUGAAAUGCGCAGAUAUCAGGAGGAACACCGGUGGCGAAGGCGGUUCUCUGGGCAUUACCUGACGCUGAGGAGCGAAAGUGUGGGGAGCGAACAGGAUUAGAUACCCUGGUAGUCCACACCGUAAACGUUGGGCGCUAGGUGUGGGACUCAUUCCACGAGUUCCGUGCCGCAGCUAACGCAUUA
rnacentral:rRNA from 1 species